GGCGGCGUAGCCAAGCGGUAAGGCAGAGGUCUGCAAAACCUCGAUACAUCGGUUCGAUUCCGAUCGCCGCCU
rfam:Acidobacteria bacterium 13_1_40CM_2_68_5 13_1_40cm_2_scaffold_7121, whole genome shotgun sequence.